AUUGCCCUAGUAACGGGCGAGUGAAGCGGCAACAGCUCAAAUUUGAAAUCUGGCUUCGGCCCGAGUUGUAAUUUGCAGAGGAUGUUUCUGGCGCGGUGCCUUCCGAGUUCCCUGGAACGGGACGCCACAGAGGGUGAGAGCCCCGUAUGGUCGGACACCAAGCCUGUGUGAAACUCCUUCAACGAGUCGAGUAGUUUGGGAAUGCUGCUCUAAAUGGGAGGUAAAUCUCUUCUAAAGCUAAAUACCGGCCAGAGACCGAUAGCGCACAAGUAGAGUGAUCGAAAGAUGAAAAGCACCUUGAAAAGGGGGUUAAAUAGUACGUGAAAUUGUUGAAAGGGAAGCACUUAUGACCAGACUUGGGCCGGGCGGCUCAUCAGGGGUUCUCCCCUGUGCACUCCGCCCGGCACAGGCCAGCAUCGGUUUUCGCGGGGGGAUAAGACCGACGGGAACGUAGCACCCUCCGGGGUGUGUUAUAGCCCGGCGGACGAUACCCUCGCGGGGACCGAGGUCCGCGCUCCGCAAGGAUGCUGGCGUAAUGGUCAUCAGUGACCCGUCUUGAAACACGGACCAAGGAGUCGUCCAUUAGAGCGAGCGUUUGGGUGUAAAACCCGCACGCGUAAUGAAAGUGAACGCAGGUGAGAGCUUCGGCGCAUCAUCGACCGAUCCUGAUGUUCUCGGAAGGAUUUGAGUAAGAGUUUUAACGGACGGACCCGAAAGACAGUGAACUAUGCUUGUAUAGGGUGAAGCCAGAGGAAACUCUGGUGGAGGCUCGCAGCGGUUCUGACGUGCAAAUCGAUCGUCAAAUAUGAGCAUGGGGGCGAAAGACUAAUCGAACUGUCUAGUAGCUGGUUACCGCCGAAGUUUCCCUCAGGAUAGCAGUGUUGAUCUUCAGUUUUAUGAGGUAAAGCGAAUGAUUAGGGACUCGGGGG
rnacentral:rRNA from 1 species